GGCAAGUUGGCCGAGUGGUUAAGGCGCAGUGUUUAGGAUACGUUUAAUUCUAACAACAUCCCCCGCUGUCUUCGGGCGUGGGUUCGAACCCCACACUUGUCA